CAAAAUCUUCGGUUGCAGAAAAUUGGUUUUGCCUAGUGAUUUGCAGCCACGCCCCGCAACUUGGCCAACUGGCUGGCUGGCUGGCUGGCUGUCCGUCUUUCUGUCAAUCAAUGGAUUCCCCGUUUCUAAGGCUGCAAAAAAUUGGCCAAGUGUCGCUUUUCUCUCUCGCUAUUUAUGCCUUUCCACACAGCGCAUUUGUUUCACACAUUUUUGCUGCAGUUUAUUUGUAAUUUUCCUUUUUCCUUCUUUUUUCCCCUCCCCCUGCACUUGCACCCGUUGCCGGCUAAUUCAAUUAGAGUUGUACUAAGUGCGCUUCAAGGCUGGCGGAAUGCACACGCCGUCGUCGAAACAGCGAGGGUUGCUAAUGAGGUAUACUGCAAAUUUACGACUACUUGCUCGCAAUUACCCUAUGCACAUAUACCAUACCAUAUUUUUUUUGCUUGUGCAAAAUUCAAUUUCCCGAAAGAAAGGCUUUAAUUGCCAAAGGUAAAUUAGCAAAACAGAAACUUAACAAAGUUGUAUUUAUUUUAACAUUUCAUUUGCCUAAUUUAUACAGCUGGCAGGCUUACUACUUUAUUUGCUUUUAAGGAAUCAUAAAGGUAUUUAUCGGAAAGAGCCAGGUUUAAAGCCCAAAAAAUAGUUGUUUUUUUUAAUAAAUAUUUAUAUGCCUUGAGUGCUCGUUUUCCCCAGUGGAUGUGAAAGCCCUACUCGCUGGUAGAAAAUCGAUAGCUUUCCUCUUGCCACAUUUUUAAUUGUUAUGCCUGCUCUAAUGAAACCUCCCUCCGCUCCAUUGGAGGGCGAUGACGUCCGGCCCAGUCCGCCCAAAAAAAAAAAUAAAAGAAAAAAUUCGAACCCUUUCUCCGGAUAAGUCCGUGUAUCUCGGAUGAUGUUGUCCUCCGCCGGCAGAGCCAUCAACUGAUGUGUACUUUUCCCCUUUUUAUUUUUAUUUCCAUUUUUUUUUUUUUGGUGUAUGGGGUGUGACAUGUGACACAAUUUGUUUGUUCUUUGUUGCUCUCACAUCGUUUGUUUUUUUGUGUUCCUUUGCCGCUUUGGAUGCUGCGACAGUCCACAAAAGAGUGGCCCCCGUGUGUGUAAAUAUGUGCGGACAUAUAUGGUAUAUAUUGUGCCCUGUUAUAUAGAUUCUACUAACGACUUUAGCAUCUGGCGAAACACACAAAAAAAGAGACACACGUAAGCAUCAAAUUGUCAGUGGGUUGUGCGGACUUAAUUUAUCUAGUUGACCAGGGAGGCUUUUAUUAUGCCCUCCAGCCACCAAAUGCCUGUUUCCAAUCAACUCGAUUUCCGCAAUUUGCCACCGCUCGAUUUUCCUGUCUAAUCACCGAAUUGUGCUUGAAUUUCUUUCAGGACUUUAUGCCUUUAAUUGGCGUUGUUUUCCAAGGGAUAACAUGCAAAAGACCAGGAUUGACAACCCCUAACUAAGAUGAAGUCCAAAACAGUUGGCUAUAAUUAAAAGAACUAAAUCGACGGCAUUGUGGUAAUGAAAUUGGCAAGUUCAUUAAACCUGCUCUUAUCUCCAGAAUUCCGACCCUGCAGCAAGGCAUAAACAAAAGCAAAAGAAGAAGGAGGAGGAGGAGGAGGAGGGGGAGGAGGAGGAGGAGGAGGAGAGGCAGAGAAGAGGCGGCGAAGACGAGCCCGAAAAUAAACGCAGUGCAAUGCAAUCAAAGUGCACCGAUGGCCUUGCGACUCCGAUUCGUGGGAAGAAGAAGACGCCGCGGAGGACGAUCACGCACACAAGCACACCGUACUCGCACUCACACAUACGCAUACCUAUGGAUUUUCGUGUGGAGUCGGUGGUCAAGUAAUACGAAACACUUGCGACUUGGUGACUUGGUAACCACAUUUGAGAAAUCGAUAAAAAGCCCAUUGAUUUUCAUAUGCCCCAAUCACAACAAAGAAAUGCCAUGACAUGUAACUUUUUCGUGGAGUGAGUGUACUAUGUACUGUCUACAAACACCGUCAAAAUAAUGGAUUAUAUGUGUGAUAACAUACAUAUACUUCGACUGCUUGCUUGAGUUCCUAAGUGGCAGACAGAGGUUCCUUCCUUGGUCAGUUAAGGGCCCUUUGCAGGGUAUUUGGGCUUCUACGCCUGUGGCAAGUGCGACGAAAACAGAAAUUUUCUGUCGGCGAAAAUGCGAAACGAGGCCAAUUGGCAAAAGGCCAAAUGGCGACGAAAAAGAGCCGCAGAGGCAAUAGCAGACGGCAAAAAGCAGAGGACAUCGAAGACAAAGCGACGCAAGGGACCCACCAAGGAGUCAAAAAAAAAAAAAAAAU